UUCCCCGCCCCCCUGGGGGAGUAGUUCCGGGCCGUCACUUCCGGCCGGCGGGUCCCGGGAGGAGGGCGUGGUGGCCGGAGAUGAUCGGAAUGUACACGCUGGAGUGUGGCGGGCUGACAGGUCUGAGACCUGAAGGACUUCCGGGAACCGCAAAGCAAGAUUGGAGUUCCACAAGUAAAGGUAGAUUGAAGAAAAGAUUCUACUUUUGAAAAAGAAGAGAAAAAUAGGUUGGCUGCUCCUUUGCUUUCAAAUAAGAUUUCUUCUCAGAAAGUCUACAUGUACUGAAUAAAAUCUGCAGUUUAUACA